GUAGCGGGUCUAAAGGAUGAUUGCUACACUGGGAUGAGACACGGCCCAGACUCCUACGGGAGGGCAGCAGUGGGGAAUUUUGGACAAUGGGGGCAACCUGAUUCCAGCCAUGCCCGCGUGAGUGAAGAAGGCCUUCGGGUUUGUAAAGCUCCUUUCGGCCGGGAAGAAAAUCGGGGUGGGGUGAAUAGCUCAUCUGGAUGACGGUACCGGAAGAAGAAGCACCGGCUAACUACGUGCCAGCAGCCGCGGUAAUACGUAGGGUGCGAGCGUUAAUCGGAAUUACUGGGCGUAAAGGGUGCGCAGCGGCUGCUCAAGACAGCUGUGAAAUCCCCGGGCUCAACCUGGGAAUUGCGGUUGUGACUGAGUGGCUGGAGUACGCAGAAGGAAGGUGGAAUUCCACGUUGUAGCAGUGAA
rnacentral:rRNA from 1 species